rnacentral:rRNA from 1 species
UCUGGCGGCGAUGGCGAGAAGGUCACACCCGUUCCCAUGCCGAACACGGAAGUUAAGCUUCUCAGCGCCGAUGGUAGUUGGGGGUUUCCCCCUGUGAGAGUAGGACGUUGCCAGGC